AUACUUACAAGGCAGGAGAGAUACCAUAUCAUGAAGGUGGUUUCCCCAGGGCGAGGCUCAUCUAAUUCACUUUAAUAUGCUGAUUCCUGCUAUUUCCCCAAAUGUGAGAAACUCAACUUUCUAAUUUGUUGUAGUAGGAGACUGUGUUCGUGGUUUCCCCUG